UACGGAGGGUGCAAGCAUUGAUCGGAAUUACUGGGCGUAAAGGGCGCGUAGGCGGCCAUAAAAGUCGGAUGUGAAAUUCCAGGGCUCAACCCUGGAGCUGCAUUUGAAACUGUGUGGCUUGGGAACAGUUAGGGUAAACGGAAUUCCACGUGUAGCGGUGAAAUGCGUAGAUAUGUGGAAGAACACCGGUGGUGAAGACGGUUUACUGGGCUGGGGACCGACGCUGAGGCGCGAAAGCAUGGGGAGCAAA
rnacentral:rRNA from 1 species